rnacentral:tRNA from 14 species
GCGCUCGAUCUUCAACACCUUCUGGAGGAGCCACCGGAGCUUUGGGUUCGACUCCUCUGCCC